rnacentral:rRNA from 1 species
CUCUAUGCGUCAGAGUUUGAUCCUGGCUCAGGAUGAACGCUAGCGGCAGGCCUAAUACAUGCAAGUCGAACGGUAAAUAUUAUAGCAAUAUGAUAUGAGAGUGACGCACGGGUGCGUAACACGUAUGCAACCUACCCUUUACAGGAGUAUAGCUCGGGGAAACUCGAAUUAACCCUUCAUAGUAUAAUUGAAUGGCAUCAUUUGAUUAUUAAAUCUUCGGAGGUAAAGGAUGGGCAUGCGUCUGAUUAGUUAGUUGGUAGUGUAACGGACUACCAAGACGAUGAUCAGUAGGGGAACUGAGAGGUUGAUCCCCCACACUGGCACUGAGAUACGGGCCAG